rnacentral:rRNA from 1 species
GAUGAACGCUGGCGGUAUGCUUAACACAUGCAAGUCGAACGGACUCUUCGGAGUUAGUGGCGGUUGCGUGAGUCACGCGUGAGAAUCUGGCUGUGGGCUCGGGACACCCCCUUGAAACGGUGGCUAAUACCGGAUGUGCCGAGCGGUAAAAGAGAACUUGCCUGAAGAUGAGCCCGCGUCUGAUUAGCUAGUUGGCGAGGUAAAGGCUCACCAAGGCAGCGAUAAGUAGCUGGUUUGAGCGGACGACCGGCCAAGCAGGGACUGGGACGCAGCCGAGACGACUACGGGAGGAAGCAGGGAAGAAUUGUCCAGAAUGGGCGAGAGCCUGACGAAGGAAUACCGCGUGUAGAAAGAAGGCUCUGGGGUUGAAAACCUCUUUGCUUAGGGAAGAACAUAAUGACGGUACCUAAGGAAUCAGCACCGGCUAACUUCGUG